rnacentral:lncRNA from 1 species
CCACCCCCCUCCCCACCUCUUCCUUCCUUCCUGCAAAUGGGUGUUAACGUGGGUCUUUAUGUUCUGUCUAUAACUAGGAUGUAAUCACGCGCCCCAUGCCUCUCUCUAAAAGCAUUUAAUAAAUGUCUAUUAAAGCGCUACAAAUGUAA